rnacentral:rRNA from 1 species
UGGUGGUCAACAGAGGGAGGCAAUACCGCGAGGUGGAGCAAACCCCUAAAAGCCAUCCCAGUUCGGAUCGCAGGCUGCAACCCGCCUGCGUGAAGUUGGAAUCGCUAGUAAUCGCGGAUCAGCAUGCCGCGGUGAAUACGUUCCCGGGCCUUGUACACACCGCCCGUCACACCAUGAGAGUCGGGAACACCCGAAGUCCGUAGCCUAACCGCAAGGGGGGCGCGGCCGAAGGUGGGUUCGAUAAUUGGGGUGAAGUCGUAACAAGGUAAC